GAAGACGUAUGAAGAGCAGCAGUUACAAGGACUGUUCGCUAUUUGUGAAAGGUAUUUUAUGAUUUAUUUGGUUGUGUAUAUGUAACUAAAUGUAAGGCUUGAUUGUAAUGGUUAUAUUUUGUCAUGUAGACACCAAAAGUGUAUUUUUUGUUGGCCAAGACCUCCGAAGUGGCAGGCGGCAAUGAGUUUUCACGGUGUUGGUGUACCAAGACAACCCCAAAGACACUAUUAAACACCCGUCAUUUGGAAACCGU